rnacentral:rRNA from 1 species
UACGUAGGUGGCAAGCGUUGUCCGGAUUUAUUGGGUUUAAAGGGUGCGUAGGCGGUCUUCUAAGUCAGUUGUGAAAUACUUCAGCUUAACUGGAGAGGUGCAAUUGAUACUGAAAGACUUGAGUACUGAUGAGGUAGGCGGAAUGGACGGUGUAGCGGUGAAAUGCUUAGAUAUCGUCCAGAACACCGAUAGCGAAGGCAGCUUACUAAGGAGUAACUGACGCUGAGGCACGAAAGUGUGGGGAUCAAACAGG